UACGUAGGGUGCAAGCGUUGUUCGGAAUUACUGGGCGUAAAGGGCGCGUAGGCGGCGACCCAAGUCAGAUGUGAAAGUCCUGGGCUUAACCUGGGGACUGCAUUUGAUACUGGGUUGCUUGAAUUCGGGAGAGGAUAGCGGAAUUCCCAGUGUAGAGGUGAAAUUCGUAGAUAUUGGGAAGAACACCGGUGGCGAAGGCGGCUAUCUGGACGGUUUCUGACGCUAAGACGCGAAAGCGUGGGGAGCAAACAGG
rnacentral:rRNA from 1 species